rnacentral:rRNA from 1 species
GAUGAACGCUGGCGGCGUGCCUAAUACAUGCAAGUCGAGCGAACGGACGAGAAGCUUGCUUCUCUGAUGUUAGCGGCGGACGGGUGAGUAACACGUGGAUAACCUACCUAUAAGACUGGGAUAACUUCGGGAAACCGGAGCUAAUACCGGAUAAUAUUUUGAACGGCAUGGUUCAAAAGUGAAAGACGGUCUUGCUGUCACUUAUAGAUGGAUCCGCGCUGCAUUAGCUAGUUGGUAAGGUAACGGCAUACCAAGGCAACGAUGCAUAGCCGACCUGAGAGGGUGAUCAGCCACACUGGAACUGAGACACGGUCCAGACUCCUACGGGAGGCAGCAGUAGGGAAUCUUCCGCAAUGGGCGAAAGCCUGACGGAGCAACGCCGCGUGAGUGAUGAAGGUCUUCGGAUCGUAAAGCUCUGUUAUUAGGGAAGAACAUAUGUGUAAGUAACUGUGCACAUCUUGACGGUACCUAAUCAGAAAGCCACGGCUAACUACGUG